GACGUAGGGCGCGAGCGUUGUCCGGAUUUAUUGGGCGUAAAGAGCUCGUAGGCGGCUUGUCGCGUCGGAUGUGAAAUCCCUCGGCUCAACUGAGGAAGUGCAUCCGAAACUGGCAAGCUUGAGUACGAAAGAGGGUCGCGGAGUUCCCGGUGUAGAGGUGAAAUUCGUAGAUAUCGGGAGGAACACCGGUGGCGAAGGCGGCGACCUGGGUCGAUACUGACGCUGAGGUGCGAAAGCGUGGGGAGCAAACAGG
rnacentral:rRNA from 1 species